GUAAGAAUUUCCACUUCAAGAAGAACGUAUCCAAUUUAGUACUAGCCAUAAAAGCUAGCUUGAAAUCGCACAUAGAAAUAUAGAACCAACUGUCCAUAUAUGCCCAAGAGCCUGCAUGUAAAUAACACCUUCAUUUGAGUACAUUUGGUCAUACCAGCAUAGAAAAACAAAAUCAUAUCAAACAAAAUGCUUCAUCUUCAUUGAUCAUUCUCUGUCUCUCUUCUUCUACAGCACCAAGUCGUCUCGGCAUUAAUCAAUCAAUGGAUAGUUCGGGUCAUCAGCUGCAUAUUUUUGUCUUUCCCUACAUGGCUCAUGGCCAUAUGAUUCCAACAGUGGAUCUGGCCAAGCUAUUUGCUUUGCGAGGCCUAAAGGCUACCAUUAUCACCACUCCCCUCAAUGCACCUCUUAUCUCCAAAACUAUCCGAAGAACUAAAGGUUUGGGUGUCGACAUUGAUAUUCGAACCCUUAAAUUCCCUUCCGUGGAGGCUGGACUACCAGAAGGAUGUGAAAACGUGGAUUCUAUCACUUCCCAUGAUAAUGGUAGUUUCGAAUUGAUUUUCAGGUUUAACAAGGCGACAACCAUGCUCCAAGAACCUCUUGAAAUGCUCCUGCAAGAGUGCCAACCUGAUUGCCUUGUUGCUGAUUUGCUCUUUCCAUGGGCUACCGAUGCUGCUGCCAAAUUUGGGAUU
rnacentral:misc_RNA from 1 species